GGAUAUGAGGGCGAUCUGGCUGUGACGUCUGUCACCCUACUGAUGCCAGGGUUGAUUAGGCUGAUCUGGCUAGCGAGGCGGUGUUUCCUUCCUCCCUCACCGCUCCCUGUGCUCUCUGUGAAAAGGACGACCAACCCGUUUGAGGACCAUCUCCCUGGUCAGGGGUAUACGAGGAGCUGCUCUGCCCUGCUAGGACCUCCAAACAAGCUCUCAAGUUCCCCCAGCCUUCCUUUUUGGGUGGAGAUGAAAUAACCCUUUAGAGAGAAACUUAGCUACAACUAUGUUUGAGGUUCUUAUCU
rnacentral:snRNA from 1 species